rnacentral:lncRNA from 1 species
GUGCGCUGUUUACGUUUGGAUCUGUGCUCUCUCUUUAAAAUACUGAUUUGUUGGUAUAUCUGAGAGGCAGGAUGGAUUGUUUAAUGAAAGUAUAGUUUAUUGCUUAAUGCUUUUUGCAUCCGUUUCUGCAAGCAUUUUAUGUAAAUUUAUGGAAACAUGACUAUAAAGUUCCCAGGACUGCAAAAUAAAACACGAACUAUUUUUGUUUGUUUCUGUCUUUCUGCUUUUGUUUUUCUUUUCAGAUGACUUGGGAUCAAUCUGACUAACUGCAAGUACAAAUCUGGUGGAAAAUCAUCUUCUGCUGUUUCUUGAAUGGAGAAGCCAAAAGAGUUGGUGCAGAUGAUUCCUAAAGGAGUAGUAAAUUUACAUUUGCCUUCAGAAAAUGAGCUACUUUCCUGAAAUGAGUGAGAUCUAGAGGAAAGACUUGCUGGAUAGGAACAUGAGCAGGAUGGUAAAGCUCUUCCCAAAAGAAUUCAACUUCUUUCCCAGACCUGGUGUCUUCCUGCAGAGCCAGUAGCAGAUGAAAGAAACUUAAGACUUAUGUCUGUAAACUGGACUGACUGUCAGGGGAGAAGCAUCUUCAUCACCAGAUCUGUGAAGGACAAAAAAACGGAACAGGAUAUGAUCUGCCAGCUCAACACCUCAAGGGGAUCUCCAGGAUUGGACCCCCAUGGUUUUCUCCAGGAUAAAUCUUCUGGAAAGAAGAAAAGGGAAGAAAAUGAAACCAAAAUCAAAGCUAAGUCAAAUGUGGAUGUGGUCCCAUCUGGGUCCUUC